ensembl:lncRNA
CUCUGAGUAUGCCCACCCUGAGGUAAGCGCGUGCGUGAUACCAAUAAUAAAAAAAAAUCCAUCAUCAACAGAUCCUAUGAUUCAACAUGGAAACCGGGCAGAGAAAACGCUCGGCUUACUUCACCCCACUUGAAAUAGAUAUUCUGCUGGGUGUAUAUGGCGAGUACGAACACAUUUUUAGGAAGAAAGGCAACACGGCUGCAGCAGCAAAGGAGAGAGAACUGGCGUGGGAGAGAAUUGCAGCGCGGGUAAAUGCGUGCAAUCCCACGGGAACAAAAAGGACUUGGCAGCAGCUGAAAAUGAAAUAUAAAAACAUAGUUCAAACAGCUAACAGAAAGAAGGCAGAGGCUCGCAAAGUGGUUGAAGGGGCACCUUCAUCCAUGCUGAGGCAGAAGAGCUUGCCAAGAUUGCUGAUGGCCUUGUUGAGACUCCUACUUCAGCAGAAGCAUUUCCAACCCUUCCAUCUGAAGCAGACGAAGAUGAUGAUAAGGAUACAUUAUCCGCUGAGAUAGAUCCAGAUAGACCUAGUGAGAGCAAGGCCGAACAUUAUCAAGAGGAAGCUCCAUCAACUACCCCAGCACAUAUUAACAAAUUACCAGUUAAAGAAAUAUACAAAAUGCACCUCAUCCAAACAAUGACAAAAACUGACAAAGAAAUCACAUACUUGGAUCGUCAGAUUAGAAAGACAGAUCUGGAAAUUGAAUUACUGGAGCACCAGUUAGAGGAAAUAAAGAAGAACAAAUGAAAUGUGAAUAAGGAGUCCUUAUUUAUCCUGUGGGGGUGGGGAAACUAAUCUGAAAAGAGAUUGUAGCAAAGUUGUUUCUCUGACAGCUCUUGCAUCAUGAACAUCUUCAGGGUGAACAGGAUCCUCUUCCCCAGGUUCAUCCACUCAUAUGGCAGGGUGCUGCUAAGAGAGGCAAUAUUAUGGAGAACAACACAUGCCACAAUGAUGCCACAUGCUCUCUCUGAUGAUACCUUGAGUCUAUGCAGGCACUGGAACCAGGAUUUGAAUCAUGUCCACCCAGAGAAGGGGAAGUUUAAUUACAGCAACAACAAUUCCAAGUAUAAUCAUGAAGUAUAACUGAAGGAUUUGUACAUCAAUCGCCUGCUGUGCUACAGAAUUCCUCUUUAAUACUCCUUCUUAGUUUAUGAGAUUUCUUAUUUGGAAUAGUACAAAAUUUUGUAGCUGAUGUUUAAGAGAAAAAUAAAUCUUUCUAACUGGUGCACAGACAGUCAUGUGUCAUACAGGAAACCCCUGAUGGUAACAAAGCGAAUUGCCACACAAAGAGAUUGGUCUGAUGUGAAAAGCACAACCUCGCUGUGUUAUAUUUGAUUUGUAUAAGGUUGGAGUGUGUUGUUGGUAAUGGUGACAUUCAACAAGAUGCUCAUCUGGGAAUGAAAAAAAAUUCUAAUCAGGGUGUCAUGCACAGAGAUCUGAAAGAUCUUCCAGGGAUAGUGAUACUAUAUUCUGUAGAACUGAUGGGUCAGUAGGCAGCAAUUUUAUACCUGUUAAUCUCUAAGAUAGAGUUUAAUCUGCUCUGGUGCAGGUUAGGUUCAAGGCAGGCAUGUGCAAUAGUGCAAAUUUUGGUACUGAUCCGAUGCUAAGUAAUUACAUGGCCAGUACCAGUACUGAUAUUUUUAUUUUACAAAGGCAGGCAGCUUAUGUCUGGGGGAGCAGUGCGUCAUGACUUAUGAGAUUAAUCAUCAAUUUGCAAAUUCUUAACACAUUUUAAUGAGCACUA